rnacentral:misc_RNA from 1 species
CGACCUCGAGCGUAGCUUGGUGUUGAGGGCUGUCGCCUCGGCGGCACUCUUUAAAAGCAUUGGCGGCAGCGCAGCUCAAUCGCAACAAAAUGCGUGCAAAGCAGCCAACUGCCCGCCAAAAUUUUUACUAUAUUUACCA